AAUUAAAAAAAGGGAUUCUUUCCAUUCUCUAUUUCCAAUUUUAUCUCUUCUUCCUCUUCUUCGGUCCUUCUACUCCUUCAUCUUCAGUUCUUCUUCUUUUUUCCUCCUCCGUUUAUUGAUUCUAUUUUCGUAUAAUCUUCUUCUUCUUCCGUAGUUUUUAUUCAUCUUCUUCUUUCUAAUUCUUAUUAUUCCUAAUUUAAGUCAGAUUAGAGUUAAUGUACGCACUGAGGCAGAGAUUGUCACUGUACCUGAUGGCUCCAACCUUUAGGGGAGUCAUCUCGGUGGAGGCAACGCUAUCACUGGUGGUAGGAUUGCGACGGUGGAUGAGAUGGUGACUGCUAUGGUGGUGGACCAUGCUAUGGCGGUGGUGGUCGCAGUGGGUGCGGUGGAGUUCGUGGUGAUCUUCAAUGCUGUAGUGAUGGAUACGAAGGAGGAAGCGGUGGAAGAGAGCAGAUCGCUGGAAGCAGAGGGAAGAAGUAGAAACACGACAGUUUGGUGAGGCUGAGAUGAUUCGGAUGGCAAUAGACAGAACGGAAGAGAAGUCAUAGUUGCAGCACUAGAAGCGGCCAUCAAUGGUCGUGGUGCGAUGAUUCUGUAUUCUCUGUUUAUAGGCGUCUUUGCCUGGUGUGGAGCUUUUAAUGCAGAAAAUCCAUAGCCUCAUUGUUGUUGCCAGGAUUUUAUUGACAAUUUGCCAAAAGCAGUCCGCGACGCUAAAAUCAAAUUGGCUACUGGAAACUCGUGGGCACCCCGGCAAGAAGGUUCAGCUCUCGGAGUCCAAGAUCUGGCAGCUCUGCUUGAUUUCCAGAGACAUUUUAUUGCAACGGCCAAAUUUAUGGGAUCUCCAAUCCUUCAUUUAGAUUUGUGGUACUCUAACUUCUUGUAAUCCCUGACUCUACCGCUUUCUUUCUUAAUAACAAGUGAAUAUGUACACUUUUGUGCAUCCCUUACUCUACUGCUUUCUUUCUUGCAAUCCCUUUUGUUUCGGUCUUCUAACUUUCUUUUUGAAGUCGGCAUUUGAUUGAUUUGUUAUUGCGUUUAUUUUUUAUUUUAAUUUUUUUUAAUAGUAGUUUUAUAUUCUUUUAAUUUGAGUGACAUUACUAUUAUAUAUUUUAAUAUGUUUUUUAACCAUAUUUUAAAAUCUUGAUUUUCAUUUCAUAUCACUUCUCUAGAAUCUUAUUUUUUCAAUACAUUAUUGACUAAGAUUUGGUAACUUUUACUGUUUAUGAUACACGAUUUGGUAUCUCCUUUUUGAGUUUUGAUAAUGGAAUUUGGUAAAUAUUUUGAUUUUAACUGCUUAUGUGAUCUCUUUAGAUCUUUAUCAUUAUCAUAACCUCAGAAACAAGAAAAUAAUAUCACUACAGAAGCAAGGAGGUGAAGAAACCAUGAUGGCAAUCCUAAAUGUAAUAAAUGAAAGAAAAGGGAGGAAUUGGAGAAAGAAAGUGGUGGUUCAGGUUCGCAUUCCUCCUUGUAAAGCCUUCUCUGGCAUCAUGGUUCUGCUAUGGUGCUUGGUUCAGUUGUGCUUCAAAUAAGGUAGCAUAGGUUCCAUUAACAUUGUCAUACCCAUUCUCACAUUAGUUUAUUUUUUAUUUUUUAGUUAUUAGUUUAGUGACUUCAUUGCCAUACUCUAUUGUGGCAUAUUUUUUGGGGUGCAUUAAAACAUGCGAAUGGAAUUGAAGGCGGAUCAACAAUUGUUGUUAGAGUAAUAGCAUGCUUUCAACCCUUGCACAAUUGUCAGGUAAGUACUAUAUGACUUAUAUAGACAUGAUUUUUAAGCUUGAUAUGAGAUAAAAAAAAAACACUUAUGUCUAUUAUGUGUUAUCCUCUGUUAUUAAUUAUUGGAUUGUUUUAUGAGCUCAUGGGGGAUGAAUGCUAUCUUCAAGUUUUUCAUCGUUUGCUGAAGCCUGUUAUGAAGAUACAUAAACUUUUUAUCAUCUAGCUGAAGCUUGAAGCUUGUAGUUUUCUUUUAUUAUUAUUUAUCUAUAAAAGAAAUCAAGUUAUUGAAAAUUCCAUAUCAAAGCAUUGUAGCAUCGUAGCACCUACUGAUAAAUAUUUUUAUGUUAUGCAUUUUCACUGAAAAUUCAUUAUUGAUUGAUUGACUAUUGUUCUUUAACUCGAUUAUUUCCUAAUAAUUGCUGUACUUCACAAGUCACGUUAAUUUGUUGACCAACAAUGUCUCGACCCUUUACUACCAGAGCGUUGUAAAUAUUUGGCAUCUUCCCUGAAGGGAAAGCUACAUCCAAUACCGGACCUAUUAUUUGGUCGAUACGUCCCAGGUUUUUUUUUUUUCAAGCACAGAAAUCUUAGGACCAGAAGUGGUAGGAUUUAUUCUCAUAUUUUAAUAUAUCCUUUUUUUAGUUUUAGUUAGAUUGUUAUUUUUUUUCUUGGAUGGUUAAGGCUCAUACGAGCUAAGGAUUUGUAUUUUAUUUUUAUUCUUUUUAAAUUAUAUGGUGUGCUUUAUGUAUUAUGGUAUGCUUGAAAGACAUCACAGCAGAGGAGGGUAUUAGGUCAAAGUUUUUACGAUAAAAAAAAGUGUGAAAAAUAACAAAUAUUGAUAAUCAGGUUGAAUACAACCUUUACUCUCCAUUUCAAAGCUUUGGUUGGACAUGGUGAAUAAGAUUUGGAAUUACUUUUGCUCAUGUUUUGAUCUAUGAGAAUAUGCAUUAGAGUAUAUAUAUGUUUGUUUUCUUUUCAAAUUAAUUUUUUUUAUUUGUGAUUGAACUUAUGUACCAUAUAAUGAUUAAUUCAAAUAAUCAACAUAUAUUGUUGCCCGGAGAGGUUUCUUCAUUUUAUGGUAUUAUGAGUUCAAAUAUCUUAGUGAUUAAAUGAUAGAUUAAAUAACAUUAAUUAUGUCUCUGUUUUUUGGUAUUAUUCAUGAAAAGCCAAUGACAGCUUUGGGUGAACAAGUGUGUCAAUCUGUGGAGAUAAUAUUGGAAAGAUUAUGUGCGGGUAACCAUUCAAUGUAUGCAAUUUAUAUGCCUUCCAUAUGUUCAAGCCUUUCAAUGAGUAUGACAGCAAGGAUGGAACCAGCACUGCCCCAGGCCAUUCACUAUAUACACCAUUCUUCAUUCAUAUAUUGCAACUGUGCUAAAGAUUUUUAGCAUUAUAAGAUGUUUUAAAUAUUUAAUAAAUUACUUCUAAAAAAUA